UAGAUAUUAGAAAGAAUACCAAUUGCGAAGGCAGCUUUCUGGAUCAUUACUGACACUGAGGAACGAAAGCAUGGGUAGCGAAGAGGAUUAGAUACCCUCGUAGUCCAUGCCGUAAACGAUGUGUGUUAGACGUUGGAAAUUUAUUUUCAGUGUCGCAGCGAAAGCGAUAAACACACCGCCUGGGGAGUACGACCGCAAGGUUAAAACUCAAAUGAAUUGACGGGGACCCGCACAAGUAGUGGAGCAUGUGGUUUAAUUCGAAGAUACGCGCAGAACCUUACCAACACUUGACAUGUUCGUCGCGACUCUAAGAGAUUAGAGUUUUCGGUUCGGCCGGACGAAACACAGGUGCUGCAUGGCUGUCGUCAGCUCGUGUCGUGAGAUGUUGGGUUAAGUCCCGCAACGAGCGCAACCCUCACUUUUAGUUGCCAUCAUUAAGUUGGGCACUCUGAAAGAACUGCCAGUGAUAAGCUGGAGGAAGGUGGGGAUGACGUCAAGUCCUCAUGGCCCUUACGUGUUGGGCUACACACGUGCUACAAUGGUAUCUACAACAGGAAGCAAGACUGCGAAGUUAAGCAAAUCCCUAAAAGAUACCUCAGUUCGGAUUGCACUCUGCAACUCGAGUGCAUGAAGCUGGAAUUACUAGUAAUCGUGGAUCAGCGUGCCACGGUGAAUGCGUUCCCGGGUCUUGUACACACCGCCCGUCACACCAUGGGAGUUGGUUCUACCUUAAGGCAAGGUUUCAAACCCUUGACCACGGUAUAGUCAGCGACUGGGGUGAAGUCGUAACAAGGUAGCCGUAGGGGAACC
rnacentral:rRNA from 1 species